CACGUAGGGCGCAAGCGUUGUCCGGAAUUAUUGGGCGUAAAGAGCUCGUAGGCGGUCUGUUACGUCUGCUGUGAAAACCCAGGGCUUAACCCUGGGCUUGCAGUGGAUACGGGCAGACUAGAGGCAGGUAGGGGAGAAUGGAAUUCCCGGUGUAGCGGUGAAAUGCGCAGAUAUCGGGAGGAACACCGGUGGCGAAGGCGACAUCCUGGACCGGUAUUGACGCUGAGGCGCGAAAGCCAGGGGAGCAAACGGG
rnacentral:rRNA from 1 species